GUAACAGACAUACGUAGAGCAUUUCAGCAUUCUAUCCAAUAGUAGCAGAAUCCACAUUUUUGUUGAGCACUCUUGGAAACAUCUCCAGGACAGAUCAUAUGUCAGACCAGAAAAUAAGUCUUAACAAAUUUAAGAAGAUUCAAAAUAUACCAAGUAUCAUCUCCAGUCACAAUGGUAUGAAAAUAGAAUUCAGCCCCGUCCCCGCCCCCGGGGCCGCUGCCACCCGCCUCACACCAUGGCUCUGAAGAGAAUACCCAAGGAAUUGAAUGACCUGGCCCGUGACCCUCCAGCACAGUGUUCAGCACGUCCUGUUGGAGAUGGUAUGUUCCAUUGGCAAGCUACAAUAAAGGGGCCAAAUGACAGUCCCUAUCAGGGUGGAGUAUUUUUCUUGACAAUUCAUUUCCCAACAGAUUACCCCUUCAAACCACCUAAGGUUGCAUUUACAACAAGAAUUUAUCAUCCAAAUAUUAACGGUAAUGGCAGCAUUUGUCUUGAUAUUCUGCGGUCACAGUGGUCUCCAGCACUAACUAUUUCAGAAGUACUCUUGUCCAUCUGUUCUCUGUUGUGUGAUCCCAAUCCAGAUGAUCCUUUAGUGCCUGAGAUUGCUUGGAUCUACAAAACAGAUAGAGAAAAGUAACAACAGAAUAGCUCGGGAAUGGACUCAGAAGUAUGCGAUGUAAUUAAAGAAAUUAUUGGAUAACCUCUACAAAUAAAGAUAGGGGAAUUCUGAAAGAGGAAAGUCCUUUUGAUUUCCAUUUGACUGCUUUCUAUGAGCCCACGCCUCAUCUCCCCCUGUGCGCAUGUUUACCUGAUACAGCAGUGCUGCGUGUUGUACAUACUUGGAACAACAAACUAGAAAUACUGUACUUCUGUACCAACAUUGCCUCCUAGCAGAGAAGUAUGUGUGUGACAAGCCAGUUCUACAGGCAUUACCUAGGUGUGAGACUAAAAGCUUUCCUUAUUGACUUAAAUUUGGAUAACAGCAAAGGGUGGUGGGUAUGGUGUGUGCUUGGAUGGGAAAGAAAAAGUUCCACUCACCUGUAGGAGAUUAUUUUUAAGUGGAAUCCAUUUAAACUCAAAACAGUUAUGAAAAGCAAGGUGAA